CGGGAGUAACGCGUGAGGAACCUGCCUCAAAGAGGGGGACAACAGUUGGAAACGACUGCUAAUACCGCAUAAGCCCACGGCUCGGCAUCGAGCAGAGGGAAAAGGAGCAAUCCGCUUUGAGAUGGCCUCGCGUCCGAUUAGCUAGUUGGUGAGGUAACGGCCCACCAAGGCGACGAUCGGUAGCCGGACUGAGAGGUUGAACGGCCACAUUGGGACUGAGACACGGCCCAG
rnacentral:rRNA from 1 species